AAAUAUACUAGAACAAGAGUGCACACGCUGAAAUGUCUCGCCUUCUAUACUAAUCAUUGAUAUUAUGUUGAUAGUCCUAAGUAAAAAGCUAAGCUUUAUAACAACUGUACCAUAAACUUAACAUUAACCAAGAUAACUAAACAAAGACCAAUGAACCUUGAAAAUGAGGUCAAGGUCAGAUGAACCAUGCCAGGCAGACAUGUACAGCUAACAAUGCUUCUAUACAACACAUAUAGUUGACCUAUUACUUAAAGUUUAAGAACAAGAGUGCACACGCUGAAAUGUCUCGCCUUCUUUACUAAUCAUUGAUAUUAUGUUGAUAGACCUAAAUAUAAAGCUUUAUUACAACUGUCACAUAAACUGAACAUUAACCAAGAAAACGAAACAUUGAUCAAUGAACCAUGAAAAUGAGGUCAAAGUCAGAUGAACCAUGCCAGGCAGACAUGUACAGCUA
rnacentral:lncRNA from 1 species